UGGAUAUCCGGUGGUAGCAACAGUCACUGUACACAGUGGAACCAAACGGGUUAUAAUAACGCAAACAUGAGUAAACGUCGUAGACCACUUGCUCCAGAAGCUAACUUUUGCGUCGUGGGUGGUGGGAGACAUUACCAAGAAGUGAUGAAUGAAAAAUAUGAAGGGAUCAAGGAUUGGCAGACCUACUCGACCACACAGAAAGGUGUUUGCAGCAUCCCCCUAUAGCUGGAAAAAGAGGAAGGAACUUGUGGAUGCACAGAAGAAACUACACUUCUGAUUUACUGUAAUUUGGAUUUAUUUACAUCACUCUGGACAAAAGCUUCUGCCAAAUGGAUACUUGUGGUGGCGUAGAAGUUUACAGUCAAAAGGAAAUACUUACGUAAAGUGAUAUUAUCUUAAAAUUGCACAGUAAUAGACUCUAUUUACAUUUGGUUGAUUUUGUUGCAUAUAUCAACAUCUUUUAUCAUUUGAGAGAUUUUUGCAUUUUUGGGAGACAAAGUGUUCUAAUAAAUGAGCUGCAGAGCUGCAAUAAAUGCACAUGGUUUAGUACAAAUUUAGAAUCUCCAAACUGCAAAUAAUUGCAUGCACAGUUUAGAAAUACAUCUGUUCAUACUCAAGGGCUGAAUGAAUAUGAACUAGCAUGUAAUUUUUUCGAAACAAUUCAAAUGCAGCCCACGGGACAUAUUAUAACCACCCAUUCUCCUCCCACCCCCCAACCCCACCCCCGCAGGUGUAGUUUAUAUAUUUUCCCGAGUGAUGUCAUACAACUGGGCCACAUAUCUUUGCAUAUAAAUCUUGCAGUCUUAUCUGUGAUAGCCUUUUUAUAAGCUUCUGACAAGGGUCAUGAGGAUGAGUGUGGCAAAAAGUAGGCAGGCAGACGAGGUCCAUCUAUUUGAUUUAUGGUACUUAUCUAUUCGAUUUGCCUAUGUAAAAAAACCUAAGUGUACAUUGCAUGACACAUUUCUUUGAAGUUAUAUUUAAGGCUGACUAAGGUUUUCAAUUUUGGAUGUUAAGGUCUACAUACAAUUUCAGUUUAGUUUUACAAAGGCAAGUAGUGUCAUGCCAGCAUUUUCUUUCUUUCAUUUUUAGCCACACCAGCAGCAUGACUCUAAAGGCCUGUUCACACCAGAUACUUGCAGAUUGAAAUUUAUUUACAUGUCUUGAUGACAUAGGAACUAAUUUCAGAUACACUAAUGAAACUAACUUAGAUGGCAAACUUGCCGCUACCAUGCUAUCUAGUUGGAAACAUGCAAGCAUUAAGUAGUCAAAACGGCUUGCCAAGCUUUUUUUCUAUCAGAAUUCUACAUUAUGUCAUUCAAUUCAAGAACUAUUUCAGAGGGGGAUAAAAUUCUCUGAGCUAGUGAGCUUGUUAACGUUCACUUGAUAAGCUACAACAGCUUCCUCCAUUUUAGGCUCUCUGGCUCUCCAUUCCCUUAAAGGUCAGCACUGUCAAGACGACUUGAAGUUGUUCAGCAUUAGGGCUGUGUAUUGGCAAGAAACAGGCAAUAUGAUACUUAUCAUGAUACAGGGGUUACGAUUCAAUAUAUUGUGAUGAGGUGAAAACGCGGGUGUAAUGAUACUGUAAGCAAGGCAAUAUAUUGUAAUAUUUUUAUUGAUCUAAAUUUAGGAAAACUGUCAUAGGAUAAAAUACACACCACUAUAUGCAUAAAAUCUGAGUUAAAAGAAGUUUACUUUUUUAUGCAAUCAGAACAACGGGAUCUUCAUUUGUAUUUAUCACAAUCCCAGUAACAUCCAACAUCAUAUCACUACGUUUUGUGCAGUCUGAGCAAAAGAAUUAACAUUUGCCUAUGUCAGUAAAAAAAAUUAAAUAAAAGUGCUGACGCUACUUCCAAUUUCAGUCUACGUUAUGUUGGAGUGGAAGAGUCAAAUGGCUGCAGAUAGAUUACAAAGCUUUCUAGUGGUCAGGAGUUUAAACACAACACAAAAAACCCCACUGUUGUCCACAAAUCUUUGCAUGUAAACUAUUAAUUAAAAAUAGAUUUUUAGAAUUGAUAGAGUAUCACAAAAACAUUAUAUUGCAGUACUCAAAUACAUUGACAUUUUUUUUUUUUUUUUUACAAAUUACUUCAUUUAUCCUAAUUUUCAUCUCUGAAGGUUGAUUUCGCACUUUAACGCUGCACUAGAUUUCUAAAUGCUAGGAACACAGCAUAUAUCUUUUCGAUCAUGUUUGUAAAUCAACGAUCUGCCAUUUUGUGACUCUCAUUGGCUCAGCCUUCUACGCACGGUUCAGUAACAUAGCUUAUGAAUGGAAGUGAUAAAGUCAAUAUGGCAGCAAUCAGAACUUAAAUGAUAUGUGUUAGCCUAUGGUAAUGUCUUCCUGUUGCUGUAUUUUGUUGUAUCUCAUACAGGGAACAUUGUACAAAAUACAUCCGUUUUUUAAAAA